AUUUAAAUAACUUAAAAUUAAAGAGUGUAAUAUUGAAGAUAUUAAAGUGAUAGAAUUUAUCUUUAAAUA
rnacentral:tRNA from 1 species